rnacentral:lncRNA from 1 species
AUGUCUGUUUUUGUACCAGAACCAUGUUGCUUUGAUUACUGUAGCUUUGUAGUCUCGUCUGAAGUCUGGGAGCAUGAUACCUCCAGCUUUGUUCUUUUAUCUCAAGAUUUCUUUGACAAUUUGGGGUCUUUUGAGGUGAACUACUAAUUUUAGGAUUAUUCUAGUUUUGUGAAAAAUAUCAUGGGCACAUUAAGAGGGAUUGUAUUAAAUCUAUAGAUUGCUCUGGGUGGUGUGGCAAUUUUAACAUUAAUUAUUGCAUAACUUCUAAGAGUCUUUGCUUUAUAUGUUUUAUGUUCUAAGAGUGAACUUGUAUCUUUUCCAUUAUUCUUUUUCUUUGGUUAUAGCCAGUACCUACUGGCACUUAGUUUUGUAUAUUGAUUUUGUACCCAAGAGCGUGUUAGCUGUAGAUUCAGUUGUUUUUUCCACUUAAUUGAAAAUAUCAUCUGCAAAUAAUAACAGCAUUAUUUUUCAUCCCUAAAUUUAUUUGCCAGGUUCUCCAAUUCUAUGCCAUGCAUUUUUUAUUUCCAUUCCUUUCUUUAUCUUAAAGAGAACAUCUAUAAUUUUUAAAUUAUAUAUGCUUCUGCUUAAGACUUUUGUUAGUUACCCUUUGGCUAUGUCUAAUCUGGUGUUAAACUAACCCAUUGGUUCAUAAAUGCAGGUCAUUUUUUUAAAUCAUUUUUAUUUUUCCCAAAUAAUUUAUGUGAUUUUUUUAAAAAAUAUUUUUUGGUUUCUGUUGAAUAUUUAAGUUUAGCUUUUAUCACUAUGCAAAUUUAUAGUAAAUAUAUUUUGUCUGUUUUUUAAAUAUGUCUGACAAACUAGCUCUACUACUGUGAACCUAUUUUAUUAUUUUUGCUGGUACUCAAGCAUGUUUUAUUUUCUCGUCAUGUAUAAAAUUAUCUUUAUUUUAUUUUAGCUGCUAUAUGUAAAACAUAAUUUUAAAAAAUAUUUUGUGUUAGAUGAUCUUAUCUUCCUUUGCUUCUCCAAGUGCCAGAGCAUUUACACAAUAAAAGAUCAUUUUACUCCUAUUUCAAGUCUUGAUCUCUGCCACUGUCAGCAGCCUGGCAAGUAGUCAGUCCAUUGUCAAAGAAGAAGAAAGAACUCUCUAAAAACACUGAACAACAAAGCACUGGAGAAGUUUCAAACUUUCUCCCAUCACCCUGAAAGCAAAAUUGAUAUAUUCUUGGAAGACUGUAGAACCUGAAGAAAAAAAAAAAAACCUUGAUCAAUAAUUAGAAACUCAUUUAAAAAUAAUUUUAUUGGGAGUUCCCAUCAUGCCUCAGCAAUAAGGAACCCAACUAGUAUCCAAGAGGAUCUGGGUUCAAUCCCUGGCCUCACUCAGUGGGUUAAAACAGAUCCCAUGUUGCUGUGGCUGUGGCUGUGGCUGGCAGCUGCAGCUAUGAUUCAACCCCUAGCCUGGGAACUUCCAAAUGCUGCAGGUGAAGCCCGUGUGUAAUAUUUAUUUUAUUACAUAUAUAUAAGAAUCUUAUUUUAUUUGUAAGACUCCAAUGUGGAGUCAUUCUCCUCCCUCAGUUUUGUCUCUUCUGCCCCUGAAUGUUGUUCCUCCUGUUAAUGUCUUCUGCAUCAGUCAUUCCUUGUUGAAGACAAGUUUUGUAUGUUUCUCACUUUUCCUCAAAGAUCAAUGUCUGAAUAUUUUUCCCUAGAGAUUAAUCAUGAUUAAUCAUGAGUAUUACAAAUUUAUGUGGCACAUGACCUAUGCUAGAGUGCUUGUAAAAAUUAAUUAGCACAAGAAGCUGAUGAAAGUUUUCCUUACAAGCAUAUACUCCAUGCAAUGAGAAACAUCUUAGAAGGGUACAAUCUGCUAACAAUAAGCAGUAUAUUCUUCUUAUUAUUAAUCAGUAAUGCAAUUUGGCUUUCAAGAUACUUUGCAAUACAUUCUAUAAAAUUCCUGUCACUUUGUUCUGUAACUUGGGCAAGUGACUUAACUUUGGGCUUCAAUUUCCAACCAUACCUAUCUGAUAAGACAUUUAUGAGAGUUAGAUGAGUUAAAUACAUCUGAACAUUUAGAAAUCAUUAAUUGCUAUUACCUAAGUGUUGAUAUUAGAGAUGGGGUAAUAAGUAUCUCACUAAAAAUUAAUUCCAUUCAUUGUCUUUUAGACAGUAGAGCAUACUUAAAAGCAUGUCUAAAACAUGGAAACUCAGAGAUUUUAUGGAACCCAGACCACCUCGCCCACCACAAGAUAAGUGAUUGCUGGUGCAAAGAAAGGUGGCCUUUUUCAAAUCUCAGCUUUGAGUUUCUUAAUCUAUAUCCAGUCAUUCUAUAUAUUUUUUAAAAUGUUCUGGCAUUAUGACACAGCGAGCAGACAACAGCUGAUUGCAAGUAACCAACAAAACCAGAAUCUCACUAUCUUCUUGCUUGGUUUUACUUAGAUACUUUUCAUAGGAGUGUUGCCACCCAUUAGUGUGUUAUAAAAACAAUUUAGUGGAUCACAGUCAUCAUUAAAGAAUUAAAUCAAUUUCUAAAUAAAUGGAAUAGAGAUGAUAAUAUAAAGUGUAAUUUUAUUAAAUUCUAAUUUGUGCACACGUGCUAACUUUUUCUAUGUUAUAGAGUGAAAGAUUUUUUUAUUGUGGCUUAUAAUCCAGCAAUUGAAAAGCACAGUUAAAUUUCAUUUUUGGCUUUACAUGAAGACUAAAAUAUAUUUUGUUCAUGAGUAAAGGAAGAAAUGAGAGGAAAUAACUACUCAUAUCUUAAUUCUGGCUAUAGGGGAAUACUUUCCAGGAGUUUCAAAGGUGGAAGGCAAAAAGGUACUCAGGUAAUGACCAUAAUUUUGCCUCACUGAUAAUGGUUAAAGAAGAAGAUGCUAAUGCUUAAAAGUGUUUCCUUAAAUAGAGGGACUAAAAACAAAUAUUUUAUAAACUGGUUAUAAAUAGUGGUGCAAGAGUAAGUCUUGCUAAACAGUAAUAAUUGUUUAUCUCAGACCAAGAAAAACUCUUUAAGUCCCCCUGACACACACACACACACCCCAGCUUCUCUUAGGAGUUUCUUAAAAUAAGGGACACUAUCCUGCAAAGUAGUGUGUGUCACACAGCAUUAUGAUGACAUAUUAUUUACAUCAACAUCAUUAGGAUAAACUAUGCUAAAUUUGCCAAAAUGCUUUGAGCAUAUUGAAUAUAUUGUAAACAUGUUGAUGGAAGAGGACUAUUCCAGUCAAUCCAUCCAAAGCCCAUAUGAAAACUUUGCAAACUCAUUGGAAAGAAUUGCUCAAUGAAAAGAACUGUGAUGAUAAGGUAGAACAGUAUCAUAUCAACUUCCAGUUAAUAAAAGAAGAAAAGAGAUGAUCAGAUAUAGGAAUAUCUGUAACACAGACUUAAGCCAGAUAUAAAACUAUAAGGAUUAUUACACAGCUAGAAUAAAAUUACCCUUCACUGUGUAAAAGUAGAGGGAUGGUAUAUCCGAUCUUAAUUGGAAAAGAUAGUGACAUAGGUGCUUUCUAUGCACUUAUGCACCUCAGUUUAUUUGUUAUACUAGUUUUAGAUUGUGAAUUAUGAAAGUGAUACAAAAAUGCUAAAUGCCUAAGUCAACAUAAAAUAUAAAUUGCAGAAAUUAUAUCCAAAUUCAUAUUUGUUAAUUCCGAUUCCAAUAUUAUACUUUUCUAGUCCACCAUAAAAAUAAUUUUAAAGAAGUUAUUGACUAGAGAACAGAAAUUGAGAACAAACUCACCAUUUAGGGUAAAUCUAUAAAUAUGUAAAGGAGUCAAAUAGCAGUAACACAGAGAAAAAUGCUUCCCUUAUCCCACAGAGGUAUUACAAGAAGAAGACUGUGGCAUCAAGCAGUGACUUUGAAUGGCCCCAGGCACUAGACCAAACAGAUUUGAACAUUUAAACUUUAUAAUUUUGAUCUCUGAUUCUUUAUUGGAAACUAAUGGCUAGAAGGUGAACAAAGCUGAAAGAAAAUGGGAGAUGUGUCAAUGAUGGUCAUAGCUGAAGAAGGGAAACUUUACAGCUUUAGGCCUAACAAUGAUGUGUGAGGCUGAAAAUACAUGAUGUGGUCAGAACAUGAAAACAAUCAACUAUUAUUAUAAAGAAUGUGAGCUGAUCCUAUACACUAUGGAGAGAAUCUAGAUCAUCUUUGACCAGCAGAACUAAUUGAUUAAAAAGACAUUUUAGAGCAAACAUUUCCAUGCAGGUAAGGACAUUGGAUUAUAGAAAACUUAAACAUCUAUCCCAAAGGUGAAUAGAUUUGGACAAGGAAUAAAUAUAGUAUUUGUUCAGUGCUCAUGACAUAGCAGACAAACCGUCUUUUUUUUUUUUUUAAUGGAGGUAUAGUUGAUUUACAAUAGUGUGUUAAUUUCAGGUACACAACAAAACGACUCAGUUACAUAUGUAUAUUUUUCAGAUUAUUCUCCAUCAUAGGUUAUUACAUGAUAUUGAGUAUAGUUCCCUUUGUCAUACAGUAGAUCCUUGUCGCUUAUCUAUUUUAUGUAUAAUAGAUUGUAUCUGUUAAUCCCAUAUUCCUAAUUUGUUGCUCUAUACCUCCUUUUCCCCGUUGAUAACCAUGAGUUUGUUUUCUAUGUCUGUAAGUCUGUUUCUAUUUUGUAUAUAGAUUCAUUUGUAUUUUUUUAGAUUACAUAUGAUGUCAAGUGAUGUCAUAUAAUAUUUUUUUUUCUCUGUCUGACUUACUUCACUUAGUAUGGUACAUAUUGUGUAGCAAAGGAAACCAUCAAAAUGAAAAGGCAACCUAUGGAGUGGGAGAAAAUAUUUGCAAACAGUUCAAACAACGAAGGGUUAAUGUCCAAAAUAUACAAACAGAUCAUACAAUUCAAUAUCAAAAACUACAAACAACCCAAUUAAAAUAUGAGCAGAAGACCUAAACACACAUUUCUACAAAGAAGACAUAUAGAUUGUUAACAGGCACAGGAAAAGAUGCUCAAUAUUCCUAAGUGUUAGAAAAAGGCAAAUCAAAACCAUGAUGACGUAUCACCUCAUACCAGUCAGAAUGGCUAUCAUCAAAAAGUCUAUAGAGAACAGGAGUUCCCGUCGUGGCUGGCUCAGCGGAAACAAAUUCUGACUAGCAUCCGUGAAGACGCAGGUUCAAUCCCUGGCCUCAUUCAGUGGGUUAAGAAUCCGGCGUUGCCAUGAGCUGUGAUGUAGGU